GACGAACGCUGGCGGCGUGCUUAACACAUGCAAGUCGAACGGAAAGGCCCUGCUGUUGUGGGGUGCUCGAGUGGCGAACGGGUGAGUAACACGUGAGUAACCUGCCCUUGACUUUGGGAUAACUUCAGGAAACUGGGGCUAAUACCGGAUAGGAGCUCCUGCUGCAUGGUUGGGGUUGGAAAGUUUCGGCGGGUGGGGAUGGACUCGCGGCUUAUCAGCUUGUUGGUGGGGUAGUGGCUUACCAAGGCUUUGACGGGUAGCCGGCCUGAGAGGGUGACCGGCCACAUUGGGACUGAGAUACGGCCCAGACUCCUACGGGAGGCAGCAGUGGGGAAUAUUGCACAAUGGGCGGAAGCCUGAUGCAGCAACGCCGCGUGCGGGAUGACGGCCUUCGGGUUGUAAACCGCUUUCGCCUGUGACGAAGCGUGAGUGACGGUAAUGGGUAAAGAAGCACCGGCUAACUACGUG
rnacentral:rRNA from 1 species